CUUCUUGGGUGACGAGCGGCGGACGGGUGAGUAAUGCAUAGGAAUCUGCCCGAUAGUGGGGGAUAACCUGGGGAAACCCAGGCUAAUACCGCAUACGUCCUACGGGAGAAAGGGGGCUCCGGCUCCCGCUAUUGGAUGAGCCUAUGUCGGAUUAGCUAGUUGGUGAGGUAAAGGCUCACCAAGGCAACGAUCCGUAGCUGGUCUGAGAGGAUGAUCAGCCACAUCGGGACUGAGACACGGCCCGAACUCCUACGGGAGGCAGCAGUGGGGAAUAUUGGACAAUGGGCGCAAGCCUGAUCCAGCCAUGCCGCGUGUGUGAAGAAGGCCUUCGGGUUGUAAAGCACUUUCAGCGAGGAAGAACGCCUAGUGGUUAAUACCCAUUAGGAAAGACAUCACUCGCAGAAGAAGCACCGGCUAACUCCGUGCCAGCAGCCGCGGUAAUACGGAGGGUGCGAGCGUUAAUCGGAAUUACUGGGCGUAAAGCGCGCGUAGGUGGCUUGAUAAGCCGGUUGUGAAAGCCCCGGGCUCAACCUGGGAACGGCAUCCGGAACUGUCAAGCUAGAGUGCAGGAGAGGAAGGUAGAAUUCCCGGUGUAGCGG
rnacentral:rRNA from 1 species